UUACAUUAGAGGCAACCUUUAGAGACAAACAAUCUGUCAUGCUGAAUUCAGUCAAAAAAUGUGCCCUACAUGCUACAACUAGUCCCCAGGCUGUUGGUUAUGCUGUGCUGUAAUCAAAUAGUUCCACGGGGGAGAAAGAAAAUACUAAACCUGACAGCUGACGGAAUUUCCGGUAUGUGUUGCUAUAUAUGGAUAACCUUAGAGAUGAAUCUGUUUCCGUUCCACAUUUUUCUUGGCAUGUAAAUUCAUGUUUCUUUGCAUAUAUUGACUAUUCAUUAUUAUGUAUAAUGUGUUGAAGGACAGAUUUGAUAGCAUCAACCAUUAAGCUCAAGUCAUUUUGUUUAUUUAGUUUUUUCUUUUUUUGUAUCGAUGAGCUUUUUCAUAGUAUAAGAUUGAUAUUGUUUCACCAUUGAUGUUAGAGGCAAGCUUGAGACAUGUAAUCUGUUAUACCAUGACCAGAAACAUAUAAAUUUGGGCUACCUUGACCUUCUGUGUUGACUUGAAAAAGAAAAUGAAAAUAAACUAAGGGGCAUGAAUAUAUCUUUUUUGACACUGUUUUUCAAGGUCAAAAUCUUAGCAAUAACAUACAUGAAGGUAUAUUUGUUACGUGCAUAUAUUUACUUAUUAUUGAUUAUUAAAGUCUCAUUCUCACCCCCUUUUUUCAUCUUACCUAUGUAGCUGACAAAUUGGGGGUAAAGGAUAAGGUAUCAGAACAAAAGGAAAUUUGUUGUAAAUUGUAAUGUUGGUACAGGUACUCUGAACCCAUAAUUCUCAUGUCACUGAAAAAAUCGUAAUGGCAGGAUACGCAUCUCUAAGGCUUCUCAAUAGCUAAGGCAUGAAAAUAUGUAUUAGACUGUAGGAAACACCCUUCAACUAGUAUAUAUAGAGAAAAUAUGUCGCAUGGACUUGCUUACAGAAAGUGAACAAAGCUGGUCUGAACUUUCCAUGUUACUUUAUAAUAUCUUGAGAUUUAAGAUCACCACUUCACAACGCAAAUCAGUGGCUGUCCCACCCUGAACUGAUAUUUGUUUGCAGGAGCUGUCCGUAAUGCAAUAUGCCAGGUAUCGAUGGUUAAAUUGUAGGGGCAACUCUGUGGACUAGUCUACAUUAUCAAAAGUUCCACUGUCAAAUUCCUGUUUAUCUUCAUUACCUCCAGACACCAAAACAAGCAAGUUGAUCAGCUCAUGUGAUGCUGUUGCUUGACACAUCCUAAAGGAGAGUGAUGGUAAAAAUCGGGGACUAAUCUGACAAUACAGUAUAUUUAAUGGGUACAUUAAGCUAAAUAAUAUGCGACUUUUUUCCUUAAAAUGAUCAAAUCCACCACAAAUUGUCAAAGAUAAAAGGAAAUUUAACAUUUCAUUGUAUCAGCCAACUUAGAAACUUUUAUAGGUAAAAGCAUACCAUUUAAUGAAAUAACAUGGUCCCUUACCUCAGAUCUUUAUAUAUCUUAAUCAAUUGUCAAAGCUGGUUAAGCAAAUUUGUUAUGAAAAUUAUGAAACUAAAUACAUGUAGUUUAUAUAUUAUGCAGAUUUGAGGGUGAAUGUUGGAGGAUUAUAAUCUCGUACUUACAUCUGAAUAUGUGUUGGAUAUAGGUGUUAGAACAGAUAUUUUAAGAAAAAUGAAGAGUUUAUAUUAAUUAGCUUGUAUGUUGAAGUAAUUUGUGAACAAUGUAAAUCAUUUACAAUUAAAUUAUAUAUGAAACCAACAAUAAAAAGGGGACCAUAGGAAAUUAUAACAAGAAAUAAAAUUUCAAUUGAAUGAUGUGUUCCAAACUGUUACAGAAGCCACCAUCUCUACUAUUCCACUUAGGGGGACUUAUUAUCUGCUCCCCAAGGCAAAAAGGAUGGGAAAAAAGUGUAAAUGGUGUUAGUGAUGUUUGCUUUACAGAAAUGUAUGAGCUGAUUUGACAUAAUUCAAGCGAGAGGUAACAUCAAGAAAGAUAUCUUCGUUGCAGGGAAUUGUGAGACCGCCAGUAGGAUGACUAUAUCCGAACUCUUCUUGUGACAUGCCUAGCAAAUCUUGAAAUGAAGGCUGGUUCAAGAAUGAAAUUGGUAUCACAAACCUCUUCUGGUUUUCUCCAACAUAAACCGCAAAGUAGCCCUUGGGAACUUUCUUAGAGCUAAUGAUAUGAGGUAGGUGGAUAGCCAUUGCUGUUUUUGAUAGAUUUAUGCUUCUCAAAGGGAAGAAAAGGAAGAACUCAGAUAACUAGGAAAGCAAGCUUGAGAAUGUUGAAGGUAGGAGUUGGCAAUGAACUUAAUCCUACUUGUAUAUAUAGAUGUAUAGGGUAGAGAGGAAAUCAUAUUCUUCUAUUAUUAAGUGGGGGAUGUGCAAUGAGUGGUGAAGGUGCAAUUGCUGGGGUCUGAUCAGUAAUGAGAUGGGCAUGGGCUAAUGGGGACUCACAUGGUGUUGUCUUCCAAGGAAUUAUCAAGAAUUCCAUGUCAAAUACUUGAAUGAAUGGUUUUCCUACCUUGCCGGCAAAAUGAACCGACCAAGGACCUACUCAGAUUUGGAAGAUUUGGAUCCAUUAAUAUAGCUUCUUCCUAAUAGAAUAUUUUUAUUACUUCACUAAUGACAAUAGAGGCAACCUUUAGAGACAUACAAUCUGUCAUGCAAUGAUAGAGAACAAAUAACAUGGAUGACUUUGACCUCCUAUUUCAUACAGACUUCACAUAAAACUUGUAAGACAAACCCUUGUGAAGAGCGCCUGAAGUGUGUCCUACAGGCUACAAAAACUCCUCAUCUGAACCCAACUUGUUGCGUUUUAUCCAGGUUUGUUGUCUAUGCCGUGCUGCAAUCAAAUAGUUCCAUAGGGGUGAAGACAAUUAGUCCACAAUUCUGGUGGCAUGUUUGUUGUGUUCUUAGCAUAUUUUGACUAUUCGUUAUUAUAUUGGGGAGAACAGUUGUCAGGUCAAAGUCAGAAAGCUAUUCAAACUACAACAAAUUUCAAUGAAGGCUUCUUCUGCACAUGGGACUGUGAGACUACCCCUUGGAUGAUCAAAGCCAAACUCCUCUUCCAGCCUGAUUUAUCAAUUCUUAAAAUGAAGGGUGCUUCAAGAAUGAAAUUGGAUGGCCUUUGGUUAUUUAUGAAGCUGCUGUCACCUUUUGGAUAAGCUGCUUUGUGUGAACAAGUGCAGGUACUGACAAACACGCAAGUCUUAUGAACUGAGAAAUGUUGCAAGGGCAGAAUACGUUCAUCUCUAAGGCUCCUGAAUAGCUAAUGCAAAAAAUAUAUAUAUGAAAGAGUUGGUAGCCCUCUUACUCUUAUCUCAAAAUGGUCACAAAUCUAUUUGGUGUUACAUUCAGUCAUUUGUAUGUUUGUUUCCAUACAUGACUGGAGUUUAAAGUAGUUGAAAUUUUCUUGAAUUUAACCAAUGAUGAUUAAUCAUUGUUAGAAUUAUGUGACCUAAAUUCUAAGAGAUUGCUUGCAAGUCAAGUUAAACAAAAAUAUAUUUUCUUUCUAGAAGAUUUAGUAUUUAUUAGUAUAAUAUAUUUAGCAUUUAUUAGUAUAGUUUAUUUGACUUACUAAUUUAGCCUAUAAAUAGGCUCAUUUACAAUCUUAGAAUUAAAGAGACACCCAUUAGAUUAGAACUCAUAACACAUUCAGAGAAUUUUGUGUUUACGUUUGAGGGUUCUUUGUUUUUCGGGUUUUCGGGGUUUAGUUUUUAUCUCCAUCUUUUGUACUCUUCAUUCUUUUGCCAUUAUAGUAAAAUUAUCUUUGCCCGUGGUUUUUUAUCCUCUUUUGAGGGGUUUUUCCACGUUAAAUUUGUGUGUUCAUCUUCUCAAUUUCUUCUACUAUUUUUACUUGUUCGUUGCUUAAUCGGGAUGAUCCUAACAAGUGAUAUCAGAGCUAGUUUAACUUUCAUAGAUCAGCCCGGUCAGAGAUGGCAGCAACAAGGUUUGAAAUUGAGAAGUUCGAUGGUGAGACAAAUUUCAAUCUGUGGCAAGUUCGGAUGAUGGCAAUUCUAGUUCAAAAUGGCUUGAAAAAGGUUGUUACAGGGAAAAAGCCUGAGAAUCUAAAUCAAACAGAAUGGGAAGAGCUUGAUGAAAAGGCCUUGUCUGCAAUCCAGUUGUGCCUCGCGAAUACAGUAUUGCAGGAGGUAUUGAUGGAGAAGACCUCAUUCGCCUUGUGGAAAAGGUUAGAAACUCUUUAUGCGACUAAGUCUCUGGCUAACCGUUUAGUGUUGAAACAACAUCUAUUUACGUUUCGCAUGAACGAAGGUGAGCUUCUUAAAGAUCACAUCAGUCAAUUCAUUACUCUUUUAAAUGAUUUAAAGAACGUUGAGGUUCAUAUUGACGAUGAAGAUCAAGCUAUGCUAUUAUUGUGCUCUUUACCCUCUUAUACAAGUCUUUCAGGGAGACCCUGAUUUAUAGCAGAUAGACAAGCUUCCAUUUUGGUAGCAUCAAAGAAACGAGACAAAAGGUGUCGCUAUUACAAAAAGUUAGGUCACGUCAAAGCAGAUUGUUAUAAACUGCGAAAUAAAAGAGCUGCUGAGAGUAACGAGAAAGAUGUAGCUGGUGCUAAUUUGGUCAAUGAAGGCGGUGAUGAUUUCUUGUUAGUGUCAACGAGCGAUAACUCCAAGCUUACGUCUGAGUGGAUCCUAGAUUCAGGAUGUUCUUUCCACAUGUGUCCCAAUAGAGAAUGGUUCUCCACAUACAGUUCAGUUGAAGGUGGAGUUGUGCACAUGGGAAACGAUUCAUCUAGUAAAAUAAUCGGUAUUGGUACUGUUAAAAUUAGGAUACACGAUGGGACGAUUAGGACACUCUCAGAUGUUAGGUAUGUACCUGAUUUACGAAAGAAUCUCAUCUCCUUGAGUAUUUUAGACUUGAAAGGAUGCAGAAUCAACAUCGAGUCGAGCGACAUUAAAGUAUCUCGUGGAGCUCUCGUUUUGUUAAAAGGUAAAAGAACCGACAGUCUUUAUAUUCUGGAAGGUUCUACAGUGACCGGUGAAAUCAGACGUCCCUCGUCCGUUACGGAGUCAAAGUCAACUCAUUUGAAGUGGAGGCAACUUGGUCAUAGGAGGGAAAAAGGUAUGACUGUUUCGUUGAAGAGAGGUUCUCUUUUGGAUGCAGGUUUUGAAAAGUUAGGGCACUGUAUUCGUGAAAAUCAGACCCGGGUUAGUUUUGAUUUGGCAGUGCACAAGUCGAAGGCUAGAAGUCUUCCAGCUUCUAAGCAUAGAUUCGACUCAGUUAAUUCCCUGCAUAGUUCAAGAUAGGCCCAUGGCGGGUUUUGGCAAAGAUGGCAUUGAAAGAAUUCGUGUCAAGGUGGAGAUUGUUAGAAUUAUGUGACCCAAAUUCUAAGAGAUUGCUUGCAAGUCAAGUUAAACAAAAAUAUAUUUUCUUUCUAGAAGAUUUAGUAUUUAUUAGUAUAAUAUAUUUAGCAUUUAUUAGUAUAGUUUAUUUGACUUACUAAUUUAGCCUAUAAAUAGGCUCAUUUACAAUCUUAGAAUUAAAGAGACACCCAUUAGAUUAGAACUCAUAACACAUUCAGAGAAUUUUGUGUUUACGUUUGAGGGUUUUUUGUUUUUCGGGUUUUCGGGGUUUAGUUUUUAUCUCCAUCUUUUGUACUAUUCAUUCUUUUGCCAUUAUAGUAAAAUUAUCUUUGCCCGUGGUUUUUUAUCCUCUUUUGAGGGGUUUUUCCACGUUAAAUUUGUGUGUUCAUCUUCUCAAUUUCUUCUACUAUUUUUAUUUGUUCGUUGCUUAAUCGGGACGAUCCUAACAACCAUUAAUAUAUAAAACCAAAUAAGUAACAAGAAUGAAGUUUACUUUCUGAUAAUACUAAUCAAUAUGUAUCAUGAACUUAUAUCUCUUUUACUUUUCUCUUUUUCGUUAAAAUAUUUUGUCCUUAGCUUUGUUGUAUUAAUCGCUUAGUCCCCAGCCUCAAAUCUUUAUAUAUCUUAAUUCUUGGGCAAAUCUACAUUAAGAAAAUUACUUUGAAAAUUAUAACACGAAAUUGAUCGUUUAAUAAGCUACUAUCAUGGUAAAGAAUACUUGUAAUCUAUCUUAACUAGACAUUGUACUCAUGUUUGAAUAUGUGUUGGCCAUAUGAAAUCGAACAAAAAUGAAGGGUCCAACUCCAAAUAACUUAGCAUGUACUCACGUUUGAAAGUAAUUUUAGAACAAAGUAGAUUAUUUACAGUUUAUAUUAAAGAUGAAUUAACGCGAACAAGUAAAAAAUUCAGAAAGGAAAUAAAAUGACAAUUGAAUGAUGUGUUUUGAACUAUCAUUACUGAUGGAUAGGAGUGUUACACUAAUCACCAUCUCUAGUUCUCCACCCGGGGAGACUUAUAUCAGCUCUCCAAGGCAAAAAGGAUGGAGAAAAAAAUGUUUACAUGUAUUAGUGAUGUUUACUUUACAAAAUUGUAUCACCUGAUUUGUGUUAAUCAUCUCACAAUUACUACAAGCGAGAGGUAACUUCGAGAAAGGUGUCUUCAUUGCAGGGAAUCGUGAGACCACCAGUAGGAUGACUAUAUCCGAACUCUUCUUGUGACAUGCCUAGCAAAUCUUGAAAUGAAGGCUGGUUUAAGAACGACACCGGUAUCACGAACCUCUUCUGGUUUUCUCCAACAUAAACUGCAAAGUAGCCCUUGGGAACCUUCUUAGAGUUA
rnacentral:lncRNA from 1 species